GCCGGGUGUGGUGGUGCACACCUGUAAUCCCAGCUACUCAGGAAGCUGAGGCAGGAGAAUUGCUUGAGCCCAGGAGGCGGAGGCUGCAGUGAGCUGAGAUCACACCACUGCACUCUAGCCUGGGCAACAGAUCAAGAUUCUGUCUCAA
rfam:Nomascus leucogenys chromosome 19, whole genome shotgun sequence.